UCACAACAAAGUAUAAACUUUCAAAAUUAGAGUGUUUUUUCCGUAAGGGUAGAUAUCAUCUAGAAGGCAAUAUAAACAAAGUAAAUUACAGAAGGAUAGCCCUAAAAAUAUAAAUCAAUAAUAACGUUUACAAGUCACUUGAUUUGUUGAAUAUAUUUGGGGCUUGUCAGGUCAAACAUAAUAAUUACAUUAUUAACAACAAAUAUUUAAAAAAUGUUUAAAAAAUUGUGUGUGCUUAUUGGAUACUUAUAUUGACAUUAUAGUUAUAUUAAAGUUAUAUUGACACCGUAAUCUUUAAUUCAUAAUAAAAUUUGUAUAAAUGCCGUUUUUACCCUUACGGAAAAAACACUCUAAUUUUAAGAGUUUACACUCAAAAUUGAGUGUUAUUACUCGAUUUUGAGAGUUUACUCCCAAAUUCAGGUGUAUAUGCUCAAAUCUUGAAUAUUUAUACUAAAGAUUGAAUGUUCAUACCUAAGUUUGGAUUUAAAUACUGAAUAUUUAAGAAUAUACUUUCAACACUUGGGUAUGACAAUAAAUGAGUGUAUACUUUCAACAUAAAAUGUGAACACUGAAACGUUGGGGAUGUACACUCAAUAUCUAUCGGUUGAAGGUAUACAUUUAAUAUUGUGUAUUCUCAAACAUUGGAUUAGGAAAUAUUAAAUAAAGACAAAAGCAAAAAAAGCAAAUUUAACCGAGAUUAAAGUUAAUCCACAUUGGUAAAAAUGGGCAUAAGACGAAUAUCUAAAAUAAACAUUCAAUUAGAGUGUUCAGCUGGCUUUGAGUAUUGUUAUAAUUUGAGUAUUACUUUCAACUUGAAUGUUUGUCAUCUAAUUGAGUGUUAAUUUAAGUGUUAUUCUUAAAUUUAGGAUUAACACUGAAAUUAACACUUAAUUAGAUGGCGAUCAUCCAAAUUGAAAGUAACACUUUAAUUAAAAGUAAAUUAAAAAGCGAACACUCAAGAUGAGCAUUUACAUUGAAUUGAGUGUUUAUCCCUUGUCCCAAAUUAUAUUCAACUUGAGUAUUUAAAAAAAUGUUAUUUGUAGUGUUUUUUCCGUAAGGAUAAAGUCAGUAAAGGUCAAACGAAUACUAUUACUAUUAAAUAAAAUCAAGUAAUCAUGCAUUUUUUGGGGUUAGGUUACCGUAUGGAUCUUCUGUAUUGUAAAAUUUAUUAUAUUUUGAAAGAUCAUAUAGAAAUAUUCUUAUAUUUUUCAAAAGUACUAAUUUUUAUUGAGUUUUAAGGAAAUAUCUAAAUUUUUUGACAUCAGGACGCCAUCUUGAAUCCAUCAUAAUGAAUUUCAAUGUUUAAUGGACACCAUGGAUGCGGUCCGGUUAACGCUACAAAUGCUUCGAAUUGUUUGGAGCGUUGUUUUAACCAGUCCACUUGGCACUUCAAAGUGUUCCAAUAGCACGUAUGACGUCAUGAACACGUCAUAGAUUUUUACUUUCAACUCGCUUCAAAUGCUACUGCUUGGAGAGAUAGUACGAUUGAAGCGUUUAAUUUGAAUAAGCAAAACGCGGGAAAGCAUACUGCUGUAUAGUUUGGUUAAAGUUCAUGUGCUGCUGUAUGUUGUGUUAUUAUCGUGCUGUAUAUGUACAUAUUGUGUAAAAUAUUUCUCUUUUAUACUGUUACAGCGUUAAAAAAUUGGGAAAAAAAUUUGAGAGACAAUGCCGAUCUUAAAGUUAUUAGAAGGAGAUACGGGAAUGGUUUAUAACCUAGAAGUUUCGGAAAAGGAUACUAUUGAAGCUAACAAAAAUAUGCUAUUUGCGACGCAACUUUUAUGUAAUUACAAAGCCAGACAGCAAGCUGCCAAAAGUGCCAAAAAGACAAUAAUUGUCAAAGAUACUGAAAGGAUGAAUACUCAAGACCAGUCAGUUAUUGCAUCAGGAUCAUCCAUGUCUUUUGAAGAUGAUACAUGUAAUGAUACAGAAGACAUAACACAAAAGUUGUCUUCUGAAGAAUCCUCUGAUUUGCAAGAAAAGGAUAGCUUUCGUUGGCCACAUGAGGCAGUAAUUUUAUUAUUAACAUUGUAUAAAGAACAUGAAGAUAAAAUCAAGCUUGGAAAAAUGACUAUGAAAAAAUUUUGGACCAUGAUUGCCUCUCAUUUAAAUGAAAAAGAGUAUAAUGUUACAGCCUCUCAAUGCAAAAGCAAAAUGGCAGGUCUUAAAAAUACGUAUAAAAAUGUAAAAGACUAUAAUGCAAAAAGUGGAAAUAACCACAAAACAUGGAGAUAUUUUGAUAUAAUGGACUAAAUGUUUAAUACAAAACCAUGGAUGACUCCAAUUCUUACGUUGGACAGUAACAAUUCGACCACUCUACUAUCUCCUGAUUCCGAUUCUGAAAAUAACAAUUAUAAAAAGGAUUCAUUUUCAGAUAAAACUAAAAUGCGUUCUACACGUUUCAAACAGAAUGUGUUGUUAGAAAAAAUACUUGUUAAUGCAGAAGAGAGUACCAAUCAACGAAAGAGGAUGCAUGAGGAAGCGAUGGCGAGACAAGACAAAUUACUUGACAUUCUAGCGAAGGUUGUUAAAAAAUAGUAAUAUAAGCAUACCCAAAAAGUUUUGUGAUAUUUUAGAGUAUAAGGCCGGAUCUACAAUAGGUGUAGUAAGCCUUAAGCCAUAAGGAGUUAACCAAUUAUAUUCGAUUAUUCUCACAUUUAAUUAUAAUUGGUUAAUUUCUUAUGGCAUAAGGCUUACUACACCUAUUGUAGAUCCGACCUAAAGAAUACAAAGAGGAUAUUUUUUUCUGUUUAAAGUUUUGUUUUAACUGUCAUCAAACAUUACAAAAGUUGUUUACAUAGUAAAUAAGCAUAUCCAAAGAGCUCUGUGAUAUUUCAGAGUACAAAAAGUACGAAGAAAAUAUUUUUCUUUUUCUGUUUAAAGUUUUAUUUUAUUUGUAACUGUUGUCGAAUAUUAAAAAAUAGUUACAUACAUAGGCCCGUAUUUAGAACGCGCUAACAAAAAUGUUAGCGCGUUAUCUAAUAGAAAAAUGUUUUUUAUAAUACAGAUUUUUCUAUUAGAUAACAACGCGUUAACAUUUUUGUCAGCCCGUUCUGAAUACGGACCAUAGUGUAUAAGCAUAUCUAAAGAGCUUUGUGAUAUUUUAAAGUACAAAGAGUAUAAAUGAUAACAAUAGGAUAGAUAGUAAGAUUACAUAUUAAAUAAUUGCCAAAAUGUUUUUAGUUUUCUUUGAGUAAUAUCGUUCCUUUCGUCAAAUGUUAUAAUAAUUAUUUUUACUUUAGUCAAAACUGUCUUUUCUAAGUAGGAUAGGAGAGACAAAAAUAUUUAAUUGAUAUACUUAUAAGUAGUUGCGUUUUAUUUUAAUUCUAUAUGACAAAAGCAUUUGUACAAGAAAAUGUUACUAUUACAUAUCACAUAUUUUAUUAAUAAAUACUUCUACAAUAUA